rnacentral:lncRNA from 1 species
UUGACUGUAAGGCCGUUUUUAUUAAAUAAGUUGGUUUACGGAUCCGCCGACCCGAAUUUUCGCUAAUUCAAAUAAAAAUAAACGCACAUUUGCCCUUAAAAAUUAUUUCCGCCGACCUCAUAUUUAUCGAUUUACUAAGAAAAUUUUAAACGGUAUUUUUGUGUUUACGUUUCGUAAUUCUGGUUCCUAUUACUGCAUUAAAAAAUCGUGAACCAGUGCACCGGAAACGUGACUGGUUAGCUGUUCACGUGUUUGCGCAUCCUUAAACCCUGACUUCCGUUUAGGAACCAGACGAUAUCAGGGCAUGGUUUGUUUACUAUGAAUGAACCAGUGUACAUCCAUCUGGAUGUGGACGUCCUAAACAAUUCAAUAUUAUCAGACAAAAAAAUGUGAAAUGCCUUCGUCAUGAAACCAUAGGUCAAGUCAUUAAUGAACAAUUAGAAAACUUUAAUGUUGUGAUUGAAGAAAUAAGGGCCGGCAGUAGUGACCACGGCAAAAUAAAUGACAAUGGAACCGUUACACCUGAAACUACACCGGUGGACGUUCUUAUCAACUUUAAUACAAAGUACCUUAUGUUAAAAUGCCUUAUAGGUGUUGACAUGCAAUACGCUCUUAGAUUUGCCUUUGUCUUUUAAUAUUGACUUGUUCUAUGUGAUGUGUUUUUGUUGUCGCAUUUAUUAAUUCCACAAAACCUACAAAAGAUGCUGAAUAAAAGGUAUUAUCAAAAGGCUUUUCAAGUUUUACAGAACUAUAAAUAAGUCUUUUCAAUCAAGUUUAAAUUAUUUAUUUUUUUUCCUCCUACCCUAUUUUUUUGUGGCUGAUAUCCGUAAACCAAGUAAAAAAACAAAAACUGGAAAGAUCUAGUUUAAAUUUAUUUUUUUCCCCUCCUCCUACCCGAAGUUUUUUGGGCUGAUGUCCGUAAACCAACUUAUUAAAUAAAAACGGCCUAAAGGGCAAUUGCUCCUUAAGGAGUAAACUGACCAUUUUGGUCAUAUUGACUUAUUUGUAGAUCUUACUUGGUUGAACAUUAUUGCUGUUUACAGUUUAUCUUUAUCUACAAUAAUAUUGAUCUAAUAACCAAAAACGACAAAAUUCCCUUAAAAAUUACCAAUUCAGGG